rnacentral:rRNA from 1 species
AUGGUCAAGCUACUAAGGGCGUACGGUGGAUGCCUAGGCAGAGAGAGGCGAUGAAGGACGUGGUAAGCUGCGAAAAGCUUCGGGGAGCCGCUAAACAGGCUUUGAUCCGGAGAUGUCCGAAUGGGGAAACCCGGCAGGGGUCAUGCCCUGUCACUGUGUACUGAAUACAUAGGUACAUAGGGCGAACGAGGGGAACUGAAACAUCUAAGUACCCUCAGGAGAAGAAAACAAAAGUGAUUCCGUAAGUAGCGGCGAGCGAACGCGGAGAAGCCCAAACCAGCGUCAUUUCGAUGGCACUGGGGUUGUGGGACCUCGACGUGGGAUUGGCGAUCAGUAGUCAAACGGUCUGGAAAGUCCGGCCAUAGUGGGUGAUAGCCCCGUAGGCGAAACUGAGAACCACCUUAGAGGUAUCCCGAGUACCGCCGGGCACGUGAAACCCGGUGGGAAUCUGGGGGGACCAUCCCCCAAGGCUAAAUACUCCUCUCUGACCGAUAGUGAACCAGUACCGUGAGGGAAAGGUGAAAAGCACUCCCAUGAGGAGGGUGAAAUAGAACCUGAAACCGUAUGCCUACAAGCAGUGGGAGCACUAUGUAAAUCAAGUGUGACCGCGUGCCUUUUGCAUAAUGAGUCAGCGAGUUACUCUCAGUAGCGAGGUUAAGCUCAUAGAGUGGAGCCGAAGGGAAACCGAGUCUUAAUAGGGCGCCAUAGUUGCUGGGAGUAGACCCGAAACCGGGCGAUCUAUCCAUGUCCAGGGUGAAAGGAAGGUAACACUUCGUGGAGGCCCGAACCCACUGGCGUUGAAAAGCCAGGGGAUGAGGUGUGGAUAGGAGUGAAAGGCUAAUCAAGCUCGGAGAUAGCUGGUUCUCCCCGAAAUAUAUUUAGGUAUAGCCUCGCAGAGUAAGUGAUGGGGGUAGAGCACUGGAUGGGCUAGGGGUCCUACCAGAUUACCAAACCUAACCAAACUCCGAAUACCAUCAACUGUAACUGCGGGAGUCAGACUGCGGGUGAUAAGAUCCGCGGUCAAAAGGGAAAGAGCCCAGACCGUCAGCUAAGGUCCCAAAAUCCAUGCUCAGUGGAAAACGAUGUGGAAAUGCCCAGACAACCAGGAGGUUGGCUUAGAAGCAGCCACCCUUUAAAGAAAGCGUAAUAGCUCACUGGUCGAGUGGGUCUGCGCGGAAAAUGUAACGGGGCUCAAGCAUGGUACCGAAGCUACGGACUUGAAUCUUACGGUUCAAGUGGUAGGGGAGCAUUGUGUAAGCCUGCGAAGGUCGACCGCGAGGACGGCUGGAGGUAUCACAAGAGAUUAUGCUGACAUGAGUAGCGAAAAACAAGGUGAGAAACCUUGUCACCGAAAGCCCAAGGUUUCCUACGUAAAGGUAAUCUGCGUAGGGUUAGUCGGUCCCUAAGGCGAGGCCGAAAGGCGUAGUUGAUGGGAAACAGGUUAAUAUUCCUGUACCUCUUGUUGCUGCGAUGGGGGGACGGAGAAGGGUAGGCGAUCCGGGUGCUGGAUGUCCCGGUUCAAGCGUGUAGGCGGGGAGUGUAGGCAAAUCCGCAUUCCCAUACAACGUCGAGGCGUGAUGACGAGAGCGCAUGCUCACAAAGUCGUUGAUCCCAUGCUUCCAAGAAAAGCCUCUAAGCUUCAGGCAGCAAGAGACCGUACCGUAAACCGACUCAGGUGGGCGGGGAGAAAAUCCUAAGGUGCUUGAGAGAACACUGGUUAAGGAACUCGGCAAAAUGACACCGUAACUUCGGGAGAAGGUGUGCCUCCACUAGGUGUAGCGAUUCGCACGUGAAGCCGACGGAGGUCGCAGAGAAAUGGCGGUAGCGACUGUUUACUAAAAACACAGGACUCUGCUAAGUCGAAAGACGAUGUAUAGGGUCUGACGCCUGCCCGGUGCCGGAAGGUUAAGGGGAUUUGUUAGCGCAAGCGAAGCUUUGAACCGAAGCCCCGGUAAACGGCGGCCGUAACUAUAACGGUCCUAAGGUAGCGAAAUUCCUUGUCGGGUAAGUUCCGACCUGCACGAAUGGCGUAACGAUUUCCGCGCUGUCUCAACCAGUGGCUCAGCGAAAUUGAAUUCUCGGUGAAGAUGCCGAGUACCCGCGGUAAGACGGAAAGACCCCGUGAACCUUUACUACAGCUUGACAGUGACAUUCGAAAUAGCUUGUGUAGGAUAGGUGGGAGACUAUGAAGCCGGGACGCUAGUUUCGGUGGAGUCACUCUUGAAAUACCACCCUGGUUGUUUUGGGUGUCUAACCUGGGCCCGUGAUCCGGGUCGGGGACACUGUCUGGUGGGUAGUUUGACUGGGGCGGUCGCCUCCCAAAGAGUAACGGAGGCGCGCGAUGGUUCCCUCAGCCCGAUUGGAAACCGGGCGUUGAGUGUAAAGGCAUAAGGGAGCUUGACUGCGAGACCCACAAGUCGAGCAGGUACGAAAGUAGGUCUUAGUGAUCCGGCGGUUCUGUAUGGAAGGGCCGUCGCUCAACGGAUAAAAGGUACUCCGGGGAUAACAGGCUGAUCUCCCCCAAGAGUUCACAUCGACGGGGAGGUUUGGCACCUCGAUGUCGGCUCAUCGCAUCCUGGGGCUGAAGUAGGUCCCAAGGGUUUGGCUGUUCGCCAAUUAAAGCGGUACGCGAGCUGGGUUUAAAACGUCGUGAGACAGUUUGGUCCCUAUCUACCGUGGGCGCAGGAUACUUGAGAAGAGCUGUCCUUAGUACGAGAGGACCGGGAUGGACGUACCGCUGGUGUUCCAGUUGUGCCGCCAGGCGCAGUCGCUGGGUAGCUAUGUACGGAAAGGAUAACCGCUGAAAGCAUCUAAGCGGGAAGCCUCCUUCAAGAUUAGGUAUCCCCGGGAGCAAUCCCCUGAAGGCCCGUUGUAGACCACAACGUUGAUAGGCCGGGUGUGUAAUCACAGCAAUGUGUUUAGCUUACCGGUACUAAUUGGCCGUGAGGCUUGACCAUAAAAAACUUAAAUAGGCAGGGGGG